AGUGAACGCUGGCGGUAGGCCUAACACAUGCAAGUCGAACGGCAGCACAGUAAGAGCUUGCUCUUACGGGUGGCGAGUGGCGGACGGGUGAGGAAUACAUCGGAAUCUACUUUUUCGUGGGGGAUAACGUAGGGAAACUUACGCUAAUACCGCAUACGACCUACGGGUGAAAGCAGGGGAUCUUCGGACCUUGCGCGAUUGAAUGAGCCGAUGUCAGAUUAGCUAGUUGGCGGGGUAAAGGCCCACCAAGGCGACGAUCCGUAGCUGGUCUGAGAGGAUGAUCAGCCACACUGGAACUGAGACACGGUCCAGACUCCUACGGGAGGCAGCAGUGGGGAAUAUUGGACAAUGGGCGCAAGCCUGAUCCAGCCAUACCGCGUGGGUGAAGAUGGCCUUCUGGUUGUAAAGCCCUUUUGUUGGGAAAGAAGAGCAGCAGGUUAAUACCCCGCUGUUCUGACGGUACCCAAAGAAUAAGCACCGGCUAACUUCGUG
rnacentral:rRNA from 1 species